GCAGCAGUGGGGAAUAUUGCACAAUGGGCGCAAGCCUGAUGCAGCCAUGCCGCGUGUGUGAAGAAGGCCUUCGGGUUGUAAAGCACUUUCAGUCGUGAGGAAGGUAGUUGCGUUAAUAGCGUAAUUAUUUGACGUUAGCGACAGAAGAAGCACCGGCUAACUCCGUGCCAGCAGCCGCGGUAAUACGGAGGGUGCGAGCGUUAAUCGGAAUUACUGGGCGUAAAGCGCAUGCAGGUGGUUUGUUAAGUCAGAUGUGAAAGCCCGGGGCUCAACCUCGGAAUUGCAUUUGAAACUGGCAGACUAGAGUACUGUAGAGGGGGGUAGAAUUUCAGGUGUAGCGGUGAAAUGCGUAGAGAUCUGAAGGAAUACCGGUGGCGAAGGCGGCCCCCUGGACAGAUACUGACACUCAGAUGCGAAAGCGUGGGGAGCAAACAGGAUUAGAUACCCUGGUAGUCCACGCCGUAAACGAUGUCUACUUGGAGGUUGUGGCCUUGAGCCGUGGCUUUCGGAGCUAACGCGUUAAGUAGACCGCCUGGGGAGUACGGUCGCAAGAUUAAAACUCAAUG
rnacentral:rRNA from 2 species